UGUUGUUCUGUCAUUCUCUGAUAUUUUUAUAAUAACUUAGUGAUCAAAAUUACCCAAAUCAUUGAAAUUGGGGAGGGGAAAGCGCUCGUGAGAGGAAUUGAACCCACGACCUAGCAGUUUGCCACCAUGCUAUCCAACGCUUGUGUUUAUGUUUUGUCAUUAAUUAGAACUAAACAGAGCUGGUGUUUAAUCCAAUCAAUUCCAAUAAUUUGUUUUACUAAUUUAUUUAGUUUUGAAUCUUUGGGUGAAUUACUAAUGGAUUUUCAUAAAUGAUUUUAAGGUGGUGACUGGUGACUAGAGGAGGCAAGAGGUCAAGGGGAGAGGUAUUUGGCAGAAAUUGUGAUGUUUCUGCUAACAAAAGGUGUGUUUAUAUUCUAUUACAAAAUAUAUCUCGAUAUAAAUUUCGGAUGUUUUCAUUACUCAGGUCUGCAAAUGUUUGAAUUCGUCUCCCAUUACGAGCUUGUUUAUGUUAUGUUUGAAAUGUUGUGUAAAGCUUGAGAUUAUUAUUGUUGUGGCAUUCGGAGAGAUUGUUGAUCGCGAAGUUCGUCUAGCGUCACGAGAGGUAUUGAACAUUUUAUGGAGUUGAUUGUCUGCCAUUGUCCAGAUAUUGAGGGGGAGAUUGAAAAGAGUGGAGUUCUGUCAUUAAUGGAUUGAAUGGUAACGGAAUGCAUGAUGCUUAACUUGCAAUUUGGAUGCUUAUUAUGCAUCUCAUUUUGUUCGCUAAUGCUCGUCUUGAUACAAGGAAAGAUCUCGAAUUGCGAAAAAUGACCUCAGAUUGAAGCUGAUUCGCAAAAGGCAAUCUACGAAAAUUCACAAUGUUGGAGCUUUUAGAUUGAGAAGUUGUCUCGAUGCUACAAUGAAACAUACAUCUCAAGCUGGAAAUUUAGUAAUGCGAGUAGCACCUACAAGAGGCAUCAUUCAAGCAGUAAAACACAUGGGUCCAAGAAAGAAGAUUCUCCUUGCUCUCAUGCUACGCAUAAAACGGCAGAUAUCUCUACGAACGCGACAUUAAAUGGCUGCUUUCUAGGAAGGGAUUCUCUGCUGGAUCGGAUGCAUCCAUAUGAUUGCUAAAUUGUUUUUUCUGGAUGUCAAUAGAGUGUUUGUGACUACCUUUGCUAGUAAAGAAUGUACAUGUUUAUGUGGAUAAAAAAAUGAAUGCUGGUGGAUUAUUGAUAAAUUAAGUAGGAUAAGAUGAUUAAUUGAAAUUUUAAUGUUGUGUUAGGGAUUGGAAAUCUUUUAGUUUUUGUAGAUCA